GACGAACGCUGGCGGCGUGCCUAAUACAUGCAAGUCGAGCGCAGGAAGUCAUCCGAACCCUUCGGGGGGACGUUGACGGAAUGAGCGGCGGACGGGUGAGUAACACGUAAAGAACCUGCCCUCAGGUCUGGGAUAACCACGAGAAAUCGGGGCUAAUACCGGAUGGGUCAUCGGACCGCAUGGUCCGAGGAUGAAAGGCGCUCCGGCGUCGCCUGGGGAUGGCUUUGCGGUGCAUUAGCUAGUUGGUGGGGUAAUGGCCCACCAAGGCGACGAUGCAUAGCCGACCUGAGAGGGUGAUCGGCCACACUGGGACUGAGACACGGCCCAGACUCCUACGGGAGGCGGCAGUAGGGAAUCUUCCACAAUGGACGAAAGUCUGAUGGAGCAACGCCGCGUGAACGAUGAAGGCCCUCGGGUCGUAAAGUUCUGUUGUAAGGGAAGAACAAGUGCCGCAGGCAAUGGCGGCACCUUGACGGUACCUUGCGAGAAAGCCACGGCUAACUACGUG
rnacentral:rRNA from 1 species